ensembl:lncRNA
GGUGUGGCAGCUAAUUUCAGCCUUUUCAAGUGGAUUAAACUCCUUUUGCUUAAUGCCUGCAGGGGAAGGCCAUCCCCGGAGGAGCGAUUUGUUGUCACACCGACCUUUGCAACAGUUGGCAUGGAGACCACUCAACUCACUGAAGAGAAUACAGAUUUUGCUUCCCGAGAUCGUUACCAUCAUUCCUCUGUUAUCACCCGAGAAGAGUUGGUCCAUCAGUUCCAAUGAGAGAGCUAUGUGCCAUUCACUUUACCAGCCAAUUAAAGGCUGAGUACGGACAUACCACCUGAUUAAAAGGCUUGCCCUUUUCACAACUGAUCUUAAUGAAUGCUGAAACUUCCAAUUAAGGGGAGUUAGGGGGAAGGAGCGGCAGGCAAGUUCAAAACCUGCUCGGUCUAAAAAAAAAAAAAGAGGAUUUGGGUUUUCAUUCCAGGGCAUCGGAUAUUUUUGUGCAAUAACUAUCAAUCUAAAAUAGAACGUGGUUUUAACACUUACGGUACCUGUAUUUGCUAGAGAACAAAUUCAAUUCCACAGGCAGGUCCUUCUGAAAUCUAGAAUUACCCCAGGCUUCUCCAAAGUGGUUGGUAUUGAGCGCCAAAUAUCAAUGGGACUAUCCAUUGGUUUUAUUGUUAAUAUUACUAUUUGCAGUACUGUUAAUUAAAAUAGUGUUUAUUUUCAUAUAAUAAAUAUUUGGGGAUUGAUGAGAAAUCUAAAACUUAAUGAAGAGGUCAAUGAACAGAAGAAUUUAGGGACCUCCUGAGUUACAGAAUAUAAAGAGAGAAAAGCUAUUAUGGACAAUCAAUGCAAGUGUUUACUAUGGGUGGAACGGAGAAGUUUUCUACCUUCGCUGGAAUUGGAUCAAACUUUUCUGAAUCUUGCAGUUGUCCUGAACAAUACUUCAAACUCAUACUGACUCUUCCUUAUUUAUAUUUCAAAAGUUAGGCACAAACAAUUAGCUGUGACAUAGAACUUAAAUUGCACUUUAGUCUUCAGACUUCCAUGCCUUCUAGGUCAUGCCCAGGAUGCCAUAGAGAUAGUCACAACCACAAUUGAGCCCAAUGGAUGAGAAACAAGAUGUCUUCUUCCUCAGGGGGAAAAAAAUCAGUCCAGUUGCCUUUUGAAAAAGCAUCUUCGAGACAAGAAUUUAUGUGCUUGGUAAAGCGACUUGGCAUCUGAUGCCAGUAAAGUAACAUUGCCAAAUUUAAUUUCUAAGUAAUUAGAAACACUAUGGAAACAUGUUUUGUUUUGUAGUAAGAGUCCUCAAGGUUAAUAAAUUGUCAUAUUUAUACAAGGAUUAAAAUCUACUUAUUCAUUUAUCUUUCCCUUUCUUUCGCUUACAAUUUGAGAGACUGUAAUAAAAGUCAAUAAUUCUACUGUUUAAGUAUAAUAUAUCUAAGAACUUUACAUACCAGGUUUUCAAAAAUUAUCAUUAUCUAUUUCCCCUUUUUUGUUUUUGCUGUCUCAAUCUCUUUCCAUUAUUUUCCGCCUUUAUUUUAUUUGAUUAAUAAUAAGUAUUGUUGCUAAAACAAAUAGUAAAUGGCACUUCUUAUUUGACUGCACAGUGCAACCUAAGAGAACUAUGAUUUGAUAUUAUGUUCUGUGAAAAAAAAGACGUCCUGCUAAUCCUUUUCAAAUUUUUGUCAUAAGUGAAAAUAUAUCCACUUUCACUUUGUGCUUGAAAAAACCAAAUCCUUGCCAAUUAAAUUUUUUUUUACAAAGGUUGCAAAUAUUUCUACAAUUUCUUCUGGAUUUGUUGUCACACCGACAACAAAUAGCUUAGAUUGAUAGUUAUUGCACAAAAAUUCAGG